GAUGAACGCUGGCGGCGUGCCUAAUACAUGCAAGUCGAGCGAACAGAUAAGGAGCUUGCUCCUUUGAAGUUAGCGGCGGACGGGUGAGUAACACGUGGGUAACCUACCUAUAAGACUGGGAUAACUUCGGGAAACCGGAGCUAAUACCGGACAACAUUUAGAACCGCAUGGUUCUAAAGUGAAAGAUGGUUUUGCUAUCACUUAUAGAUGGACCCGCGCCGUAUUAGCUAGUUGGUAAGGUAACGGCUUACCAAGGCGACGAUACGUAGCCGACCGGAGGGGGUGAUGGGCCAACAUGGAACGGAGACACGGUCCAGACGCCUACGGGAGGCAGCAGUAGGGAAUCUUCCGCAAUGGGCGAAAGCCUGACGGAGCAACGCCGCGUGGGUGAUGAAGGGUUUCGGCUCGUAAAACGCUGUUAUUAGGGAAGAACAAAUUUGUUAGUAACUGAGCAAGUCUUGACGGUACCUAACCAGAAAGCCACGGCUAACUACGUGCCAGCAGCCGCCGUAA
rnacentral:rRNA from 1 species